AUGACGAGUGGCGGACGGGUGAGUAAUGCUUGGGAACUUGCCUUUGCGAGGGGGAUAACAGUUGGAAACGACUGCUAAUACCGCAUAAUGUCUUCGGACCAAACGGGGCUUCGGCUCCGGCGCAAAGAGAGGCCCAAGUGAGAUUAGCUAGUUGGUAAGGUAACGGCUUACCAAGGCGACGAUCUCUAGCUGUUCUGAGAGGAAGAUCAGCCACACUGGGACUGAGACACGGCCCAGACUCCUACGGGAGGCAGCAGUGGGGAAUAUUGCACAAUGGGGGAAACCCUGAUGCAGCCAUGCCGCGUGUGUGAAGAAGGCCUUCGGGUUGUAAAGCACUUUCAGUUGUGAGGAAAAGUUAGUAGUUAAUACCUGCUAGCCGUGACGUUAACAACAGAAGAAGCACCGGCUAACUCCGUGCCAGCAGCCGCGGUAAUACGGAGGGUGCGAGCGUUAAUCGGAAUUACUGGGCGUAAAGCGCACGCAGGCGGUUUGUUAAGCUAGAUGUGAAAGCCCCGGGCUCAACCUGGGAUGGUCAUUUAGAACUGGCAGACUAGAGUCUUGGAGAGGGGAGUGGAAUUCCAGGUGUAGCGGUGAAAUGCGUAGAUAUCUGGAGGAACAUCAGUGGCGAAAGGCGACUCCCUGGCCAAAGACUGACGCUCAUGUGCGAAAGUGUGGGUAGCGAACAGGAUUAGAUACCCUGGUAGUCCACACCGUAAACGCUGUCUACUAGCUGUGUGUGCCUUUAAGCGUGCGUAGCGAAGCUAACGCGCUAAGUAGACCGCCUGGG
rnacentral:rRNA from 1 species